GACGAACGCUGGCGGCGUGCUUAACACAUGCAAGUCGAACGGAAAGGCCCUGCUUUUGUGGGGUGCUCGAGUGGCGAACGGGUGAGUAACACGUGAGUAACCUGCCCUUGACUUUGGGAUAACUUCAGGAAACUGGGGCUAAUACCGGAUAGGAGCUCCUGCUGCAUGGUGGGGGUUGGAAAGUUUCGGCGGUUGGGGCUGGACGGGCGGGUUAUCAGCUUGUUGGUGGGGUAGUGGCUUACCAAGGCUUUGACGGGUAGCCGGCCUGAGAGGGUGACCGGGCACAAUGGGACUACGGGAGGGCCCAGACUCCUACGGGAGACAGCGGGGGGGAAUAUUGCACAAUGGGCGGGAGCGUGAUGCAGCAACGCCGCGUGCGGGAUGACGGCCUUCGGGUUGUAAACCGCUUUCGCCUGUGACGGAGCGUGAGUGACGGUAAUGGAUAAAGAAGCACCGGCUAACUACGUG
rnacentral:rRNA from 1 species